ACGGAGACCAUGCAGAGCAACGGGAGGUGGAGGAUCCCGGAGGUGACAGCAAGGAGAGUACGCAACGGCUAGGGGAAUCUGAAGUGGGCCCAGGUGACUUCUGUGAGGACGCAGGGCAAGCGGGCAAAAGGAAGGGAAGGCAGCCCCGGGGUGCUGCAGACCAGCCCCGCUGGUGCGGGAGAUAACAUGUCCGGCGAGCGGCCCCCCCGCACCGACAUACCCCGCAACCUCAGCUUUAUAGCUGCGCUGACCGAGCGUGCCUACUACCGCAGCCAGCGGCCCAGCCUCGAGGAGGAGCCGGAGGAGGAGCCAGCCGAGGGCGGGACGCGUCUGGGGGCCCGAUCCCGCGCUCACGCUCCGAGUCGGGGUCGCCGGGCCCGUUCCGCACCCGCCGGAGGCGGCGGGGCCCGGGCACCCCGCAGCCGAAGCCCGGACACCCGCAAGAGAGUGCGUUUCGCUGACGCGCUGGGGCUGGAGCUGGCCGCGGUGCGCCGCUUCCGCCCCGGAGAGCUGCCCCGGGUACCCCGCCACGUGCAGAUCCAGCUGCAAAGAGACGCCCUCCGCCACUUCGCGCCUUGUCAGCCGCGCUCCCGAAGCCUCCAGGAGGCGCGCGCAGCCCUAGAGCCGGCCAGCGAGCCCGGCUUCGCCGCCCGCUUACAGGCGCAGCGCAUCUGCUUGGAGCGCGCUGAGGCGGGCCCACUGGGCGUGGCUGGGAGCGCGCGCGUGCUGGACCUGGCCUACGAGAAGCGCGUUAGCGUGCGCUGGAGCGCCGACGGCUGGAGAAGCCAGCGCGAAGCGCUCGCCGCUUACGCCGGCCCGGCCCCGCCCCCUCCGCGAGCAGAUCGUUUCGCCUUCCGUCUUCCAGCGCCGCCCAUUGGGGGCGCCCUGCUCUUCGCCCUACGCUACCGUGUGACCGGUCGCGAGUUCUGGGACAACAACGGCGGCCGUGACUAUGCUCUGCGUGGGCCCGAGCAUCCGGGCAGUGCCGGAGCCCCGGAGCCCCAGGGCUGGAUCCACUUUAUCUAAGACAAGACUUCCGCAGCCCGUGGCAGAAAAAAACUAAGGCACCUGGGGGGCAGGGGAAAACCAAUGUGGUGGGAGGAGUGGGAGAAACUUAGAUUGACCGGGAGAGGUCCCAGUCAGGUGGGGGAGGGCGAGGAAGGUGGGAGAAAUCAACAAGGUUUGGGGAACUCGAGGUGGAAAAUGCUGGCUGGAUGUGAGUGAAAAGAACCCAAGGCAAGGGAGAAAGGAAACCAGAGGGAUUAGAAGAAAGCUAAAGAAGGGGGAUGAUGGUAGCCUCUUUAAUGAAUGGUCACUGGGAGAGAGUGAGUUGCAGGCCUAGGCAGUCAAAUGUUAGGAAAGUCUUUGGGUUUGAGGAGGCAUUAUGGAUUGAGGAGGUGUGACGUGUGAAAUAAUCCAUCCCAUUUGAAGUCAACGGAUUGCUGGUUUAUUUCCGUUUUUUGGCCUUUGCCACCUCAGGUCCCUCAGUUUGCCCAUCCUAGUUUUAUCUCAGCUAUAAUUGCCUUGCUUAAUCCUAGGAACUUGGCCAUUGCUCCUUCUGGACCCUGGCAUGACAGGAUUCCCUUAUCACCCGACAGUUCCUCCCUAAAAUUUUCAUGUAUUGGCUGGGGAAUGAUGACAGGUAGAACUAUUUUCUCCGUCCUCCAGGCAAGUUCCGGAUUAUAAUCGAGGCAAAAGCAACCCCAGCCUGUCCUUGUAGCCCAAUAAUGGGGCACCUAAGGUGUUGAUUUACUCAGGGGCUUCCAGAAAAAUGUCAGCCUUAUAUUUCUGGGUACCUUUUAAUAACCUCUAAGCACUUUAUGGACUGUUGUCAAGGAAUAGUGAAUCAAAAAAUCACUAUUCUGAUUUGUUGCUUCUGGUUUAGAAGAAAAAGAAGUCACUGACUGGCUGUACAACUUUAAGCAAGUUGUACUUCUUUGGGCCCCACUUUGCUUCUUGGGAAAUUGGAUUUGGUUUAUGUAGUUCUUUUACAGCUCCAUUUUGUUUGACAUUUUAUCAUCUGCAUUGUAUAGUGUAGAUUAGAAGCCACAUUUUUCAACCUUUUACUAUAGUUCAGGAGACAAACCCUGAGCUUAUGGUUGUGGCUGAGGAGGGGUCCUCCAGUUUUGGGCAAGAAUGUUUCAGAACCCAGAAAGUAUUCCACAAUCACCCGGUAGCGUCUUCCCAACCAUGGCACAUCUACUGCCCCUUGCUUUUUGCUCUUGCCUCCAGAGAUUUCCAGCCUGGAUGAUCUGAGACAGCUUUGGGGAGGUAUAUCUGAGUUGGGAAUAUGAUUGAGAGCCCCCAAAUGAAAGGAAACAAUGCCAGGAUCUCUCUUGAGAAUAAAGAAUGGAAAACAUCAAGAAUGAGAGCAACUUGACAAAUGACACCAGAAAAUGGCAGUCUUAUCCAUAUUCUGAGCCAGUGAAAUGGGAAAGCUGACUCUUCUACCCAUUCCCAUUCAUGUCUCUCUUGGUUAACCUUAACAUGGGAGUUAUUUCUUUCCUGGUUGCUUAGUUUCCUUUCCUCUUACCCUAUACCUAACCUCUUUGCUUUUUGCUUUUUUUCUUGUUCCUCUCCCUUUUCAUCACUUUUUUUUUCCUUUGAACAUGUAAGGUAUUUACUUUUAUUCUAGGUCAUUUACCUAUAUUUUCUCCCUUUCCCUCUUCAUUCUUAGUUGAUCUCUGCUAUUCCUUCUUCCUCCAGAAGGGGUAGAGAGUCUACUUCCUUUUCUCCAAGACCAUGGUUGAUCCACCUUCCUCCCUCAGGCUCCUUCUUGACAGUCUUCUAAAGGGAGAAAAGGGGAAAGAAGCAGUUCCUGUUGUUACAGAUGAACAAGGAGCUUUAAGGUCAACCUCAGGUCAGAGUUCCAGCAAAGUGAAGAAAGAAAUUACUGGAAGUCACCAAGCAAUGCACGGUUUAGUCAUCAGUGAGAACCCAGGAAGUCUGGGUUGAGGUUCAUUUUCUAAUAAUGUCUUGCCUGACUUGUAUGUGUUACCGUUAUAUCAUAUUAAUAGUAGUAAUAGCCCAUUUUCUUAACAUUUAUCUGCUAAAAUCUGUUUUAUGUGCAUGCUCAAAAUAAUCCUGAGUAUCAGUAUCAUUAUUCCUCUUCUAUUAAAGAUAAGCCCUGGAGAAACUCUAGUCUUGUUCAAGAUCUCACAGCUAUGCAGGGUGCAGUGGCACACUCCAUAAUCCCAGUGACUCAGGAGGCUGAAACAGGAGGAUUGCACAUU